rnacentral:tmRNA from 1 species
GGGGGCGAAACGGUUUCGACGGGAUUAUCAAGGCUGAAGAUGCGUAUCGAGGACCAUAAUCUCGUUAAAAAUAUGGAACUAAACUUAAUUGCUGAUGAACAAUUAGCACUUGCUGCUUAAUUAAAUAAGUAGCCGUUCCCUCUACUGAUGCCUGUGCGGUGGAUGUGGAGCGUCGACUAACAGGCUAACUGAUCGCAGAAGGCCGAGCGCAAUCAGUGAAAUUUAUCGGUCUAGCGAUUUAAUAAUUUUGCCGUUUUCUUAAUAUUAGAUCGCGAAACAAAAAUGAAACGGAUAUAUGCGUAGAUUCUUCUUGCUAAGUGAUUUCGGACGCGGGUUCGAUUCCCGCCGCCUCCACCA